rnacentral:rRNA from 1 species
GAUGAACGCUGGCGGCAUGCCUAACACAUGCAAGUCGAACGGAAUCUUAUAUGUUCCUCGUUUUGGAUUUAGUUCCAAGUUGAGGAACAAUAAGAUUUAGUGGCGGACGGGUGAGUAACACGUUGGUACCUACCCUCUAGUGGGGAAUAACUUCGAGAAAUCGAGGCUAAUACCGCAUAAUAUCUACGGAUUAAAGCAUUUAUGCGCUAGAGGAGGGGCCUGCGUCUGAUUAGCUAGUUGGUGAGGUAAAAGCUCACCAAGGCAACGAUCAGUAGCUGGAUCGAGAGGUUGACCAGCCACACUGGGACUGAGAUACGGCCCAGACUCCUACGGGAGGCAGCAGUGAGGAAUCUUCCACAAUGGACGAAAGUCUGAUGGAGCAAUGCCGCGUGCAGGAUGACGGCCUUCGGGUUGUAAACUGCUUUUAUAUGGGAAGAUUAUGACGGUACCAUAUGAAUAAGGACCGGCUAACUACGUG